rnacentral:rRNA from 1 species
AACGAACGCUGGCGGCAUGCCUAACACAUGCAAGUCGAACGAGACCUUCGGGUCUAGUGGCGCAAGGGUGCGUAACGCGUGGGAACCUGCCCUUAGGUUCGGAAUAACUCCCCGAAAGGGGUGCUAAUACCGGCUAAUGUCUUCGGACCAAAGAUUUAUCGCCUUUGGAUGGGCCCGCGUUGGAUUAGCUAGUUGGUAGGGUAAAAGCCUACCCAGGCGACGAUCCAUAGCUGGUCUGAGAGGAUGAUCAGCCACACUGGGACUGAGACACGGCCCAGACUCCUACGGGCGGCGGCAGUUGUGAAUAUUGGACAGUGGGCGAAAGGCUGAUCCAGCAAUGGCGGGUGGGUGAUGAAGGCCUUAUGGUUGGAAAGCUCUUUUACCCGGGAUGAUAAUGACAGUACCGGGAGAAUAAGCUCCGGCUAACUCCGUG